AGUACGGCGAGUGAAGCGGCAACAGCUCAAAUUUGAAAUCUGGCCUUCUCGUCCGCAUUGUAAUUUGUACAGGAUGCUUUGGGUGAAACGCCAUCUAAUUCCUUGGAACAGGACGUCGUAUAGGGGGAGAAUCCCGUAUGUGACUGGAAAUGUUAACCUAUGUAAAGCUCCUUCUACGAUUCGAGUUGUUUGGGAAUGCAGCUCUAAAUGGGAGGUAAAUUUCUUCUAAUGCUAAAUAUUGGCGAGAGACCAAUAGCGCACAAAUAGAGUGAUCGAAAGAUGAAAAGCACUUUGGAAAGAAAGUAAAAAAGCACGUGAAAUUGUUGAAAGGGAAGCGCUUGCAAUCAGACUUGUUUAAACUGUUCGGCCGGUCUUGUGACCGGUUUACUCAGUUUGGACAGGCCAGCAUCAGUUUCGGCGGCCGGAUAAAGGCUCUGGGAAUGUGGCCUUCACUUCGGUGAAGGUGUUAUAGCCCAGGGUGUAAUACGGCCAGCCGGGACUGAGGUCCGCGCUUCGGCUAGGAUGCUGGCGUAAUGGUUGUAAGCGACCCGUCUUGAAACACGGACCAAGGAGUCUAACAUCUAUGCGAGUGUUCGGGUGUCAAACCCCUGCGCGUAAUGAAAGUGAACGGAGGUGGGAACCGCAAGGUGCACCAUCGACCGAUCUUGAUGUUUUCGGAUGGAUUUGAGUAAGAGCAUAGCUGUUGGGACCCGAAAGAUGGUGAACUAUGCCUGAAUAGGGUGAAGCCAGAGGAAACUCUGGUGGAGGCUCGCAGCGGUUCUGACGUGCAAAUCGAUCGUCAAAUUUGGGUAUAGGGGCGAAAGACUAAUCGAACCAUCUAGUAGCUGGUUCCUGCCGAAGUUUCCCUCAGGAUAGCAGUAACGUUUUCAGUUUUAUGAGGUAAAAGGAAAGAUUAGAGGCCUUGGGGUUGAAACAACCUUAACCUAUUUUCAAACUUUAAAUAGUAAGAA
rnacentral:rRNA from 1 species